GUGAGGAAUAUUGGUCAAUGGGCGGGAGCCUGAACCAGCCUAGUCGCGUGAAGGAAGAAGGAUCUAUGGUUCGUAAACUUCUUUUGCAGGGGAAUAAAGUGCAGGACGUGUCCUGUUUUGUAUGUACCCUGAGAAUAAGGAUCGGCUAACUCCGUGCCAGCAGCCGCGGUAAUACGGAGGAUCCGAGCGUUAUCCGGAUUUAUUGGGUUUAAAGGGUGCGUAGGUGGUUUGAUAAGUCAGCGGUGAAAGUUUGCAGCUUAACUGUAAAAAUGCCGUUGAAACUGUCGGACUUGAGUGUAAAUGAGGUAGGCGGAAUGCGUGGUGUAGCGGUGAAAUGCAUAGAUAUCACGCAGAACUCCGAUUGCGAAGGCAGCUUACUAAGCUACAACUGACACUGAAGCACGAAAGCGUGGGGAUCAAACAGGAUUAGAAACCCCAGUAGUCC
rnacentral:rRNA from 1 species